CCUACGGGUGGCAGCAGUGAGGAAUAUUGGACAAUGGACGCAAGUCUGAACCAGCCAUGCCGCGUGCAGGAAGACGGCUCUAUGAGUUGUAAACUGCUUUUGUACGAGGGUAAACGCAGAUACGCGUAUCUGUCUGAAAGUAUCGUAAGAAUAAGGAUCGGCUAACUCCAUGCCAGCAGCCGCGGUAAUACGGAGGAUGCGAGCGUUAUCCGGAUUUAUUUGGUUUAAAGGGUGCGCAGGCGGCGAGUUAAGUCAGCGGUAAAAUUUCGGGGCUCAACCCCGACGAGCCGGUGAAACUGGCUUGCGAGAGAGGGCGAGAAGUAUGCGGAAGGCGUGGUGUAGCGGUGAAAUGCAUAGAUAUUACGCAGAACUCCGAUAGCGAAGGCAGCAUACCGGCGCCCAACUGACGCUCAGGCACGAAAGCGUGGGUAUCGAACAGGAUUAGAUACCCUGGUAGUC
rnacentral:rRNA from 1 species